rnacentral:rRNA from 1 species
AGCGAACGCUGGCGGCAGGCUUAACACAUGCAAGUCGAGCGGGCAUCCUUGUGGUGUCAGCGGCAGACGGGUGAGUAACGCGUGGGAACGUGCCCCUCGGUUCGGAAUAACUCAGGGAAACUUGAGCUAAUACCGGAUACGUGCGAGAGCAGAAAGGUUUAUCUGCCGAAGGAUCGGCCCGCGUCUGAUUAGCUAGUUGGUGAGGUUACGGCUCACCAAGGCGACGAUCAGUAGCUGGUCUGAGAGGAUGAUCAGCCACACUGGGACUGAGACACGGCCCAGACUCCUACGGGAGGCAGCAGUGGGGAAUAUUGGACAAUGGGGGCAACCCUGAUCCAGCCAUGCCGCGUGAGUGAUGACGGCCUUAGGGUUGUAAAGCUCUUUUCUCCGGGACGAUAAUGACGGUACCGGAGGAAUAAGCCCCGGCUAACUUCGUG